AGAACGUUUAAUUUUUUGUUUGAAACGGCGGAUAAUUGACGUUUACUUUAUCCUCAUGAGAAAUAUUCACGAUUUUUGAUUAAACAACGAUAACCAAUUGAACGAUAAUCGAUUAUUUAAACGAACAGAUUACCAAGGAGGCGUUUGUUGCCAUAUAAAGUCGGCUUAGAGUGCAGGUCGUUCUCUCUUCUCCCGCGGUCCAUCGAGGUGAACGCGCGAUUACCACGGGUCGAGGCAUGAACACAGACUGUCGCACCUGCGAAGAGGGGCGAGCUUCGCGGUCGAAGCUCGCAGCCCGACUGGCAUCGUUGCUCUCUCGAGCUUACGGCCAAGGAGCGAUCACCAAUGCUGAUUGACGCGUGUGCUAUACGCAGCCUUUCAAUUCGUCCGGACGCCGCGUCCAGACGAUUAUUUUACAACGAAAAAAGGAAAGAAAGGAUGCUAUAAAACAGGAAGACCUAUUUAUCAUACGACGAGGCCCAGCCGAUCGAAACUGCUUUCCGGUAAAGCCACACUCCGAAUGGGCAUGCGCAUUAAACAAUCACGUAAAAUUCACGCUGGCCGCCUCUAAAGGAUAGAAUUCUCCAGGGAUUAAUUCCGUUGCAUCCGUGGUUGUAGUUCAUCUCGAUUAACCAUCGUUAUAUAGACACAGCUUUGGCCUGAUUGUCCGAUUGCGAAAUUCGAGAAAAUUUGCUACGCGUUUUUAAACCGACUAAUCUGCCCUAGAAUCUCGUUUCCUUGCGAAGGAUUACUUUACGUACCUUUUCGCAAAUCAUAUUCACGGCAAGUUCAUUACCUCGCAGAGGACGGAGACGAAUCGUGUUCGUGAACGUGGCGAGAAAGUCGAGUUGGAAUAAAUACGGUUCCUCUGAUUUUCGAAAGGAGAUUCGACAUCGAGGCGAAAACAGUGGAUAUGUUUUAUGGAGGAGGUUGAACUGAAGGUUUUAAAGACGAGGGAUCGAGAUUGAUUUGGCACGGGGGGUGUGAUGGAUUUGUGAAGAAUUCGGGAUUUUGAAGGAAAAUGUAUUUGGAGAGAAAGGAGUUAAAUAGAUAGAUCGAGAGGAAAAGAUUUUGGAAGUUGGGAGUUUUUAAAAAUCUAUAAAAUAAAAAUUGGAAUUAUGAGAAUAUAUUUGCAGAUGAGGUUUUUAAAGUUUUAAAGAAAAGAGAAAUAAAGAAGGAUUUUGUUGAAAAAGUUGAAAAUUUUCUUUCGAUAUUUUGUAAAUUAUAAAAUUGAACUUGAUGAAUACACGAAUGUAUAAUUUGUUGGUAAUAUAAAAAAAUUUUGCAGGAAGAGAA